AUACGUAGGGGGCGAGCGUUGUCCGGAAUGAUUGGGCGUAAAGGGCGCGUAGGCGGCCCGGUAAGUCUGGAGUGAAAGUCCUGUUUUUAAGAUGGGAAUUGCUUUGGAUACUGUCGGGCUUGAGUGCAGGAGAGGUAAGUGGAAUUCCCAGUGUAGCGGUGAAAUGCGUAGAGAUUGGGAGGAACACCAGUGGCGAAGGCGACUUACUGGACUGUAACUGACGCUGAGGCGCGAAAGUGUGGGGAGCAAACAGGAUUAGAUACCCUGGUAGUCCACACUGUAAACGAUGAAUGCAAGGUGUAGGGGGUAUCGACCCCUUCUGUGCCGCAGUCAACACAAUAAGCAUUCCGCCUGGGGAGUACGGCCGCAAGGUUGAAACUCAAAUGAAUUGGCGGGG
rnacentral:rRNA from 1 species